UAUAGUCAAGUAAUUAAGUGCAUGUGGUGGAUGCCUUGGCAGUCAGAGGCGAUGAAAGACGUGAUAGCCUGCGAAAAGCUCCGGGGAGGCGGCAAAUAUCCUUUGAUCCGGAGAUUUCUGAAUGGGGGAACCCACCUACUUUAAGGUAGGUAUU
rnacentral:rRNA from 1 species